CGAGAGGUGGGCGGACGGGUGAGUAACGCGUGGGUAACCUGCCUCAUACAGGGGGAUAACAGUUGGAAACGGCUGCUAAUACCGCAUAAGCGCACAGUACCGCAUGGGUACGGUGUGAAAAACUCCGGUGGUAUGAGAUGGACCCGCGUCUGAUUAGGUAGUUGGUGGGGUAACGGCCUACCAAGCCGACGAUCAGUAGCCGACCUGAGAGGGUGACCGGCCACAUUGGGACUGAGACACGGCCCAA
rnacentral:rRNA from 1 species